rnacentral:lncRNA from 1 species
UCCCCCCUCUUUUAACUCAUAUCACUCUCUCAAUCUCUUCAGCUCUCUAAAACUCAUUUUUACUCGCAUCUCUCUCUCAAUCUCACAUUUUCAUUCUCCUACACUCAACAAGGCUACGAUUUAUGGAUUGGAUUAAAUUUGGGAUGAUUAAGAAGAAGAUCCCUCUCGGUUAGAAUGUGGUGAAAAGAGCCGGACAAUAUCAAGUCAAAUUGCUCUAGAAAUUAGAGACACCCAACUGUCACAAUCGUUCCCCCGACAUGCAACAACAAAGGUAAAGGGGAAGACAGUAGCAUUAAUCGCACCGUUGGAAAGAAUCGAGUCGAGUGACGAAACACCUUCUCAAUUAUAUUUAACAACCAGCUCAGACCAGAGAUAUGGCAGCGACGUGGGCAGUAGUGUCUUAACCAAUGAUGGCGACGACCUCGAGGAGUCGAUAGUCUAAUCUAUAUAAUUUGAGGGUGGUGCAUGGACCGCAAAAUUGUAUUUUACAUGCCGUCUAAGAUUUAAAUCAUCGAAUUUGACAAGAUAUUGAUUAAGUUUAUACAUGGAAGGGGGAGAGAAAGGCAGUGGAUGAUUUUGAGUAGAUGCGACAGAACUUACACUAUGUAGACACAAAGCGAAAAUUAUCAUAUUCAUAAUCGUCGUAUCAUGGAGAAUCUUUUGACCAGCAACAGUAUGGUGAUGGUCAUGCUUCACCGAGUAAUUGUACGUUGUUCGAUCUUAUGAUACAAAACAACAAAUCAAUAGCAAAAGUAGAAGUUUUGACAUUCUUCAUGCUCCGCACUAAUACAUGUCAUAAUCGUACUUGCCUCUAGAGCCACCUCACACACGUGUGAUUCAUGACGAUCAGACUACGACCAUCACUAUAUUGAUGCACCAAUGGCAUAUGGUGUAUUAUUAUAUUAUGUCGUGAGAUCAAUUUUAGGAUUGGGUCUAACAAAUAUAUCAAAUUGAUAUACAGAUACAUAGGAUCGAGGACCUUGGUCCAUUUCCUAUGGAGUCUCAUUUUUACUUGCAUCUCUCUCUCAUUCUCACAUUUUCAUUCUCCUACACUCAACAAGGCUACGAUUUAUGGGUUGGAUUAAAUUUGGGAUGAUUAAGAAGAAGAUCCCUCUCGGUUAGAAUGUGGCGAAAAGCGUCGGACAACAUCGAGUCAAAUUGCUUUAGAAAUUAGAGACACCCAACUGUCACAAUCGUUCCCCCGACAUGCAAUGACAAAGGUAAAGGGGAAAGCAGUAGCAUCAAUCGCACCGUUGGAAAGAAUCGAGUCGAGUGACGAAACACC